rnacentral:rRNA from 1 species
CAGCAGUCGCCGCGGGAAUACGUAGGGUGCGAGCGUUAAUCGGAAUUACUGGGCGUAAAGCGUGCGCAGGCGGUUAUAUAAGACAGAUGUGAAAUCCCCGGGCUCAACCUGGGACCUGCAUUUGUGACUGUAUAGCUAGAGUACGGUAGAGGGGGAUGGAAUUCCGCGUGUAGCAGUGAAAUGCGUAGAUAUGCGGAGGAACACCGAUGGCGAAGGCAAUCCCCUGGACCUGUACUGACGCUCAUGCACGAAAGCGUGGGGAGCAAACAGGAUUAGAUACCCCUGUAGUCCCUGUCUCUUAUAC